rnacentral:rRNA from 1 species
AGAGUUUGUAGUCCUGGCGUCAGGAGUGAACGCUGGCGGCGUGCUUAACACAUGCAAGUCGAACGGAAAGGCCCCACUUUUUGGUGGGGGUGCUCGAGUGGCGAACGGGUGAGUAACACGUGGGUGAUCUGCCCUGCACUUCGGGAUAAGCUUGGGAAACUGGGUCUAAUACCGGAUAGGACCAUGGUUUAGUGUCUCAUGGUGGAAAGAUUAUUGUUUUGGUGCAGGAUGAGCUCGCGGCCUAUCAGCUUGUUGGUGGGGUAAUGGCCUACCAAGGCGUCGACGGGUAGCCGGCCUGAGAGGGUGGACGGCCACAUUGGGACUGAGAUACGGCCCAGACUCCUACGGGAGGCAGCAGUGGGGAAUAUUGCACAAUGGGCGCAAGCCUGAUGCAGCGACGCCGCGUGGGGGAUGACGGCCUUCGGGUUGUAAACUCCUUUCGUUAGGGACGAAGCCGCACCUUUUUGGGUGUGGUGACGGUACCUUUGUUAAGAAGCACCGGCUAACUACGUG